rnacentral:rRNA from 1 species
ACGAGUGGCGGACGGGUGAGUAACACGUGGGUAACCUGCCCUUAAGUGGGGGAUAACAUUUGGAAACAGAUGCUAAUACCGCAUAAAUCCAAGAACCGCAUGGUUCUUGGCUGAAAGAUGGCGUAAGCUAUCGCUUUUGGAUGGACCCGCGGCGUAUUAGCUAGUUGGUGAGGUAACGGCUCACCAAGGCAAUGAUACGUAGCCGAACUGAGAGGUUGAUCGGCCACAUUGGGACUGAGACACGGCCCAAACUCCUACGGGAGGCAGCAGUAGGGAAUCUUCCACAAUGGACGCAAGUCUGAUGGAGCAACGCCGCGUGAGUGAAGAAGGCUUUCGGGUCGUAAAACUCUGUUGUUGGAGAAGAAUGGUCGGCAGAGUAACUGUUGUCGGCGUGACGGUAUCCAACCAGAAAGCCACGGCUAACUACGUGCCAGCAGCCGCGGUAAUACGUAGGUGGCAGCGUAUCCUGGAUUUAUUGGGCGUAAAGCGAGCGCAGGCGGUUUUUUAAGUCUGAUGUGAAAGCCCUCGGCUUAACCGAGGAAGUGCAUCGGAAACUGGGAAACUUGAGUGCAGAAGAGGACAGUGGAACUCCAUGUGUAGCGGUGAAAUGCGUAGAUAUAUGGAAGAACACCAGUGGCGAAGGCGGCUGUCUGGUCUGUAACUGACGCUGAGGCUCGAAAGCAUGGGUAGCGAACAGGAUUAGAUACCCUGGUAGUCCAUGCCGUAAACGAUGAAUGCUAGGUGUUGGAGGGUUUCCGCCCUUCAGUGCCGCAGCUAACGCAUUAAGCAUUCCGCCUGGGGAGUACGACCGCAAGGUUGAAACUCAAAGGAAUUGACGGGGGCCCGCACAAGCGGUGGAGCAUGUGGUUUAAUUCGAAGCAACGCGAAGAACCUUACCAGGUCUUGACAUCUUUUGAUCACCUGAGAGAUCAGGUUUCCCCUUCGGGGGCAAAAUGACAGGUGGUGCAUGGUUGUCGUCAGCUCGUGUCGUGAGAUGUUGGGUUAAGUCCCGCAACGAGCGCAACCCUUAUGACUAGUUGCCAGCAUUUAGUUGGGCACUCUAGUAAGACUGCCGGUGACAAACCGGAGGAAGGUGGGGAUGACGUCAAAUCAUCAUGCCCCUUAUGACCUGGGCUACACACGUGCUACAAUGGAUGGUACAACGAGUUGCGAGACCGCGAGGUCAAGCUAAUCUCUUAAAGCCAUUCUCAGUUCGGACUGUAGGCUGCAACUCGCCUACACGAAGUCGGAAUCGCUAGUAAUCGCGGAUCAGCACGCCGCGGUGAAUACGUUCCCGGGCCUUGUACACACCGCCCGUCACACCAUGAGAGUUUGUAACACCCGAAGCCGGUGGCGUAACCCUUUUAGGGAGCGAGCCGUUAAGGUGGGACAAAUGAUUAGGGUGAAGUCGUAACAAG